rnacentral:rRNA from 1 species
UACGGAGGGGCUAGCGUUGUUCGGAAUUACUGGGCGUAAAGCGUACGUAGGCGGCUUUGUAAGUUAGAGGUGAAAGCCCAGAGCUCAACUCUGGAAUUGCCUUUAAGACUGCAUCGCUUGAAUCGUGGAGAGGUUAGUGGAAUUCCGAGUGUAGAGGUGAAAUUCGUAGAUAUUCGGAAGAACACCAGUGGCGAAGGCGACUAACUGGACACGUAUUGACGCUGAGGUACGAAAGCGUGGGGAGCAAACAGG